GAUGAACGCUAGCGACAGGCUUAACACAUGCAAGUCGAGGGGCAGCGGGGUGUAGCAAUACACUGCCGGCGACCGGCGCACGGGUGCGUAACACGUGUGCAACUUACCUGCAACAGGGGGAUAGGCUCUCGAAAGAGAGAUUAAUACCGCAUAAAACAGGGGUUCCGCAUGGGACUAUUUGUUAAAGAUUUAUCGGUUGUAGAUAGGCACGCGCGACAUUAGAUAGUUGGUGAGGUAACGGCUCACCAAGUCUACGAUGUUUAGGGGUUCUGAGAGGAAGGUCCCCCACACCGGAACUGAGACACGGUCCGGACUCCUACGGGAGGCAGCAGUGAGGAAUAUUGGUCAAUGGUCGAGAGACUGAACCAGCCAAGUCGCGUGAAGGAUGAAGGCGUUAUGCGUUGUAAACUUCUUUUGUAGAGGAAUAAAGUGUGG
rnacentral:rRNA from 1 species